rnacentral:rRNA from 1 species
AUUGAACGCUGGCGGAAUGCUUUACACAUGCAAGUCGAACGGCAGCACGGACUUCGGUCUGGUGGCGAGUGGCGAACGGGUGAGUAAUACAUCGGAACGUGCCCAGUCGUGGGGGAUAACGUAGCGAAAGCUACGCUAAUACCGCAUACGAUCUAAGGAUGAAAGCGGGGGAUCGCAAGACCUCGCGCGAUUGGAGCGGCCGGUGGCAGAUUAGGUAGUUGGGGGGGUAAAGGCUCACCAAGCCGACGAUCUGUAGCCGGUCUGAGAGGACGACCAGCCACACUGGGACUGAGACACGGCCCAGACUCCUACGGGAGGCAGCAGUGGGGAAUUUUGGACAAUGGGCGCAAGCCUGAUCCAGCCAUUCCGCGUGCAGGAUGAAGGCCCUCGGGUUGUAAACUGCUUUUGUACGGAACGAAAAGGCUCUGGUUAAUACCCGGGGCUCAUGACGGUACCGUAAGAAUAAGCACCGGCUAACUACGUGUCAGCAGCCGCAGUAA